rnacentral:rRNA from 1 species
UACGGAAGGCAGCAGUGGGGAAUAUUGCACAAUGGGCGCAAGCCUGAUGCAGCCAUGCCGCGUGUAUGAAGAAGGCCUUCGGGUUGUAAAGUACUUUCAGUCGUGAGGAAGGUGUUAAGGUUAAUAACCUUAGCAAUUGACGUUAGCGACAGAAGAAGCACCGGCUAACUCCGUGCCAGCAGCCGCGGUAAUACGGAGGGUGCGAGCGUUAAUCGGAAUUACUGGGCGUAAAGGGCACGCAGGCGGUUAAUUAAGUUGGAUGUGAAAUCCCCGGGCUUAACCUGGGAAUGGCAUUCAAGACUGGUUAGCUAGAGUCUUGUAGAGGGGGUAGAAUUCCGAUGUGUAGCGGUGAAAUGCGUAGAGAUGUGGAGGAAUACCGGUGGCGAAGGCGGCCCCUGGACAAAGACUGACGCUCGAUGUGCGAAAGCGUGGGGAGCAAA